rnacentral:rRNA from 1 species
AACGAACGCUGACGGUAUGCCUAAUACAUGCAAGUCGCACGAGAAAGUUCCUUCGGGAGCGAGUAGAGUGGCGCACGGGUGAGUAACACGUAGGUGACCUACCUUUUGGAGUGGAAUAACCCCGAGAAAUUAGGGCUAAUACCGCGUAAGAUCGACUGAUUUAAAUAAGGUUGAUGAAAGGGUGCCUCUAUUUAUAAGCACUCGCCGAAAGCAGGGCCUGCGGGACAUUAGCUAGAUGGUGGGGUAAUGGCCUACCAUGGCGUCGAUGUCUAGCGGAUCUGAGAGGAUGAUCCGCCACACUGGAACUGAGACACGGUCCAGACUCCUACGGGAGGCAGCAGUAGGGAAUAUUGCGCAAUGGGGGAAACCCUGACGCAGCAAUACCGUGUGAGUGAGGAAGGUCUUCGGAUUGUAAAGCUCUGUCGGGGUGGAAAAAUGGCGGACGGUCUAAUAGGCCGUACGAUUGAUGGUACACCCAAAGGAAGCACCGGCUAACUUCGUGCCAGCCGCCGCAGUAA